AUUGAACGCUGGCGGCAGGCCUAACACAUGCAAGUCGAACGGUAACAGGAAGACGCUUGCUUCUUUGCUGACGAGUGGCGGACGGGUGAGUCAUGUCUGGGAAACUGCCUGAUGGAGGGGGAUAACUACUGGAAACGGUAGCUAAUACCGCAUAUCGUCGCAAGACCAAAGAGGGGGACCUUCGGGCCUCUUUCCAUCCGAUGUGCCCCGGUGGGAUUAGCUAGUAGGUGGGGUAACGGCUCACCUAGGCGACGAUCCCUAGCUGGUCUGAGAGGAUGACCAGCCACACUGGAACUGAGACACGGUCCAGACUCCUACGGGAGGCAGCAGUAGGGAAUAUUGCGCAAUGGGCGCAAGCCUGAUGCAGCCAUGCCGCGUGUAUGAAGAAGGCCUUCGGGUUGUAAAGUACUUUCAGCGGGGAGGAAGGGAGUAAUGUUAAUACCUUCACUCAUUGACGUUACCCGAAGAGGAAGCCCCGGCUAACUACGUG
rnacentral:rRNA from 1 species